AAAGAACAGAAAGAAAAUGCUGGUUUUACCAAGGAAUUUAAGGAACAACCAUAUGGGGAGAGGUUUGACUGUACCACAGCGAAAUUAGAAGAAAACAUUCCAAGAAACAGAUUCAAAACAACUUUUCCAUAUAAUCACUCGAGAGUGGUGCUACAAAUUGAUGACGAAUUCAGUUCCGAUUACAUAAAUGCAAAUUACGUAGAGAAUAUGGAAGGUACAAGGGCAUAUAUUGCUUCUCA